UACGGAGGAUGCGAGCGUUAUCCGGAUUUAUUGGGUUUAAAGGGUGCGUAGGCGGACGCUUAAGUCAGCGGUAAAAUUGCGGGGCUCAACCUCGUCGAGCCGUUGAAACUGGGUGCCUUGAGUGGGCGAGAAGUACGCGGAAUGCGUGGUCUAGCGGUGAAAUGCAUAGAUAUCACGCAGAACUCCGAUUGCGAAGGCAGCGUACCGGCGCCCAACUGACGCUGAAGCACGAAGGCGUGGGUAUCGAACAGG
rnacentral:rRNA from 1 species